rnacentral:tRNA from 1 species
ACCUUCAUGGUGUUGUGGUCAGCACACUCGACCCUUAUUCGAGAGGUCCGUGGUUCGAGCCCCGGCGAGGGCA